rnacentral:lncRNA from 1 species
CCGCCUGCUUUGUUGAGAGAGGGAGGCAUUUUUCCCAAGGCUCCCAGGGAACAUCUGCAAAGUACCUUUCUCUCCUGGGUCCUGAUCAGAUAGAAGACCUUCCCACCUUAGCUUUGAGUCUCAAUGGGCCCCAUGGACAAUUCAGCAGUAAAGUCUUUUCUCUCUGGCUUCUUUCCCCCAUUCUUCCUCAGAGGGUUCCAGCAUCAUCAUCUGACCCUUCCUCUGCUCAUCUCUCCCCACUUAGGUCUCCGGAAUUACCUUUUUCUCCUUAAUCUCUCCUCUCUCCAUCUCCCCCAUAAAUGUCUGUGCUGAGUCAGAAUGAAAGAAAAUACAAAAUCCUACUAAGCCUCACUGAGGUCUGAGCCCCCAGAACGCAAAGGGGCUUCUUAGAAAACACCCUAGCUCUGGAGAUUUCUAAUUCUGGACUCAAGCCUAGCGUCUACCUCUUAAUUUUAUUUUCAUUUUAUUUUUUAUUUUUUGAGAUGGAGUUUCACUCUUGUUGCCCAGGCUGGAGUGCAAUGGCGCAAUCUCGGCUCACUGCAACCUCCGCCUCCCAGGUUCAAGAGAUUCUCCUACCUCAGCCUCCCAAGUAGCUAGGAUUACAGGCAUGCACCACCAUGCCCGGAUAAUUUUUGUAUUUUUAGUAGAGACAGGGUUUCUCCACGUUGGUCAGGCUGAUCUCAAACUCCAGACCUCAGGUGAUCCGCCCGCCUCAGCCUCCCAAAGUGCUGGGAUUACAGGUGUGAGCCACCACGCCCAGCCUGGGACUGUGCAUUUAAGAUCACCCCAAGUGGCUGGGCACAGUGGCCUCUGCCUCCUGGGUUCAAGCAAACAAAAAGAAAGAGCCUAGGCAACCUAGUGAAACCCUGUUCGGGCUGCGGCCUAUCUGUACCCCAGCUAUUCCAGAGGCUGAGGCAGGAGGGUGGAUGGAUGCUGGGAGGUGGAUGCUGCAGUGAGCAGUGAUUGCACCACUGCACUCCAGCCUGGGUGACAGAGCCAGACCCCGUCCCAAAUAAAUAAAAAUAAAGGAACCAGUUUGUAGAAAGCAGGAGAGGGUCCCAUUGAACUUCAAGCCUUCAAGCUACAGCUGUGGCUGGACAGGUUGGACCAGCAGGCUGGAGCAGUCGCCAUCUUGGCAGGGAUCAUUGACCCUGAUCUAUCAUCGGGAGGAAGAAGAGCUGAUCUUAUGCAGGGAGGGCAGGUGGACUAUGUGUGGACUCUGGUGAUCUGUUUGGGUGCCAGGUGUUACUCCCAGGGCCACCCAUAACUGUGAAUGUGCAGGAACCCUGACUUAGGUUCCUGGGGAAUGAGAGUUUGGUUCCCGGUACCCAGGGAAACCACCAGCAUCGGCAGAGGUGAUAGCUGGGGAGGAGCGGGGAUUUGGACGAGAGACACAGGAUGAGUACCGGGGGCAGCCCUGUGAUCAACAACUGCUGCAAGAGGGGCCGUUUGUUCGACUCACUAGUCUUCUGUGGCUCUAUGCGGUACUAAAGAGCAGAAGACAGAAGAUACAAAAACCACAAAAAUUAGCCGGGCGUGGUGCUGCGCGUCAAUAAUCCCAGCUACUCGGGAGGCUGAGACGGGAGAAUCGCUUGAAUCCGGGAGGUGGAAGUUUCAGCGAGCUGAGAUCACGCCAUUGCAGUCCAACCUGAGCGUCCGAGCGAGACUAUCUCAGAAAGUAAAGACAGAAUUAAAGUGCCCAGCGCAGUGGCUCACGCCUGUAAUCCCAGCGCUUUGGGAGGCCGAGGCGGGCAGAUCACCUGAAGUCAGGAGUUCGAGACCAGCCUGGCCAACUU